GUCUGCGACCUGCAGAGGAAAAAAAAUUACGUAUUUUCUUGCCCUGUACAUACUUUGAGGCGAGUCAUAAAAUUAAAGUAAAUUUUAACCAUGGGGGAAAUCGUGCAUAUCCAGGCUGGUCAGUGUGGCAACCAAAUCGGUGCAAAGUUCUGGGAGGUGAUCAGUGAUGAACAUAGCAUCGACCCCACCGGUACCUACCACAGGGACAGCGACCUGCAAUUCAACGGUAUCUCCAUGUACUACAAUGAAGCCCCAGGUGGCAAAUAUGUUCCCCGUGCUAUACUAGUGAAUCUAGAACCUGGGACCAUGGACUCUGUUCCUUUUGGGCAAAUCUUCAGACCAGGAAAUUUUGUUUUUGGUCAGUCUGGGGCAGGCAACAACUGGGCAAAGGGCCACUAUGCAGAGGGUGCUGGGCUGGUUGAUUCUGUCUUGGAUGUGGUACGGAAAGAGGCCGAGAACUGUGACUGCCUGCAGGGCUUCCAGCUGACCCACUCGCUGGGUGGGGGCACAGACUCUGGAAUGGGCAUGCUCCUCAUCAGCAAGAUUCAAGGAGUAUCCUGAUCACAUCAUGAACACCUUCAGUGUGGUGUCCUCACCCAAAGUGUCAGACACUGUGGUUGGGUCCUACAACACCACGCUCUCUGUCCAUCAGUUGGUAGAGAACACUGAUGAGACCUACUGCAUUGACAAUGAGGCCCCCUACGACUUCUGCUUCCGCACCCUCAAGCUGACCACACCAACCUACGGGGAUCUAAACCACCUCAUCUCAGCCACCAUGAGCUGUGUCACCACCUGCCUCUGCUUCCCUGGCCAGCUCAAUGCUGACCUCUGCAAGCUGGCAGUCAACAUGGUGUCCUGCCCACGUCUCCACUUCUUCAUGCCUGUCUUUGUCCCUCUCACCAGCCGUGGAAGCCAGCAGUAUUGGGUUCUCACAAUACCUGAACUCACCCAGCAGGUCUUCGAUGCCAAGAACAUGAUGGCUGCCUGUGACCCCCGCCAUGGCCGGUACCUCACCGUGGCUGCUGUGUUGCACGGACGGAUGUCUAUGAAGGAGGUAGAUGAGCAGAUGCUCAACGUGCAGAACAAGAAUAGCAGCUACUUUGUGGAACGGAUCCCCAACAAUGUCAAGACAGCUGUCUGCGAUAUUCCGCCUCGUGGCCUCAAGAUGGCAGUCACCUCCAUCGGCAACAGCACAGCCAUCCAGGAGCUCUUCAAGCGUAUUUCCGAGCAGUUCAGUGCAAUGUUCCACCAGAAGGCCUUCCUCCACUGGUACACAGGUGAGGGCAUGGACGAGAUGGAGUUCACUGAGGCUGAGAGCAACAUGAACGACCUCGUCUCUGAGUAUCAGCAGUACCAGGAUGCCACCGCAGAAUAAGAGGAAGAUUUUGGUGAGAAGGCCGAAGAGGAGGCCUAAGGCAGAGCCCCCAUCACCUCAGGCUUCUCAGUUCCCAUAGCCGUCUUCCUCAGCUGCCCCUUUCCUCUCCCUCAGAAUUUGUGUUUGCUGCCUCUUUUUUUUCUCCUUGGGGGGGUGGGGUGGGUCUAGAACAGUGCCUGGCCACAUAAGAGGCGCUCAAUAAAUAUUUGUU